rnacentral:rRNA from 1 species
AGCCUGAACGCUGGCGGCGUGGCUAAGACAUGCAAGUCGAACGGGUGUAGCAAUACACCAGUGGCGGACGGGUGAGUAAUGAAUCGCUAACGUACCCUUAGGCUUGGGAUAGCUGCCCGAAAGGGCAGGUAAUACCAGAUGAUAUACCUUGGUCGCAUGGCCGAGGUCUCAAAGCCGCAAGGCACCUUUUGGAGCGGGCGAGUUUCGUAAUCAGCUAGUUGGUGAGGUAACGGCUCACCAAGGCGACGACGCGUAACCGGACUGAGAGGUUGGCCGGUCACAUUGGGACUGAGACACUGCCCAGACUCCUACGGGGGGCUGCAGUAACGAAUCUUCCGCAAUGCACGAAAGUGUGACGGAGCGACGCCGCGUGGAGGAGAAAGUCCCUGGAGUGUAAACUACCUGUCGAGGGAAAGGAAAAGUUACGUUAGAUCUACCCAACCGAGGAAGAAGGACGGCGAACUACUGUUGCCACGCAGCCGC